rnacentral:rRNA from 1 species
AACGAACGCUGGCGGCAUGCCUAACACAUGCAAGUCGAACGAGACCUUCGGGUCUAGUGGCGCACGGGUGCGUAACGCGUGGGAACCUGCCCUUAGGUUCGGAAUAACUCCCCGAAAGGGGUGCUAAUACCGGAUAAUGUCUUCGGACCAAAGAUUUAUCGCCUUUGGAUGGGCCCGCGUUGGAUUAGCUAGUUGGUAGGGUAAAAGCCUACCAAGGCAACGAUCCAUAGCUGGUCUGAGAGGAUGAUCAGCCACACUGGGACUGAGACACGGCCCAGACUCCUACGGGAGGCAGCAGUGGGGAAUAUUGGACAAUGGGCGAAAGCCUGAUCCAAUGCCGCGUGAGUGAUGAAGGCCUUAGGGUUGUAAAGCUCUUUUACCCGGGAUGAUAAUGACAGUACCGGGAGAAUAAGCUCCGGCUAACUCCGUG